GUGUCAAGUGGUUUGUAUGCAUCAGUGUGUGUAUCUGUAUGUCAGGGUGUUUGUAUGUGGCAGUGUGGAUAUCUGUGUGUCAGAGUGUGUAUUUUAGUGUGUAUUUGAAUGUGUGUGUGUUAGUGCGUUUAUCUAUGUAAGUAUGUAUGUAAAUGGCAGUGUAUGUGUGUAUGUGUGUAUAUGUAUACGUCCAAGUAAUCAAA